rnacentral:rRNA from 1 species
UACGGAGGGUGCAAGCAUUAAUCGGAUUUAUUGGGCGUAAAGGGCGCGUAGGCGGGAAGAUAAGUCAGAUGUGAAAUCCCUGGGCUUAACCUAGGAACUGCAUUUGUGACUGCAUUGCUGGAGUGUGGUAGAGGGAGAUGGAAUUCCGCAUGUAGCAGUGAAAUGCGUAGAUAUGCGGAGGAACACCAAUGGCGAAGGCGAAUCUCCUGGGACCUGCACUGACGCUCAUGCACGAAAGCGUGGGGAGCAAACAGG